rnacentral:rRNA from 1 species
CAUAGCGACUAUCGUGGCAUAUCAAUAAGCGGAGGAAAAGAAACUAACAAGGAUUCCCUUAGUAACGGCGAGUGAAGCGGGAAGAGCUCAAAUUUGAAAUCUUCAAGGUUUUACCUUGACGAAUUGUAGUUUAAAGAAGUGUUUUCUGUUGAAGUUUUGGUAAAAGUUCUUUGGAAUAGGACAUCAUAGAGGGUGAGAAUCCCGUAUUUGACCAUUAUUUUCAGCUGUGUGAUACACUUUCAAAGAGUCGGAUUGUUUGGGAAUGCAGUCCAAAAUGGGUGGUAAAUUUCAUCUAAAGCUAAAUAUUGGCGAGAGACCGAUAGCGAACAAGUACCGUGAGGGAAAGAUGAAAAGAACUUUGAAAAGAGAGUUAAACAGUACGUGAAAUUGUCAAAAAGGGAAGCGUUUGACACCAGUGUUGUUUUCUCGAAAAUCAAUUAAAAAUGGUGGGAUUCUGUGUUGUAUUGACUUUAUCAGCUUUCUGCACUCUUUUUCCUAUCUUUUUUAAUGCACUUUUCGUUUAACAAGUCAACAUCAAUUUCUUUUGUUGUAAAAGAGUCAUUGGAAGGUGGCUUUCUUUUCGGAGAAAGUGUUUAUAGCCUUUGGCUUCUGCAAUCGGAGAGAUUGAGGUCUGCAGCGUAGAUCCUUCGGGGUUAGAUAGCAUUUGUGCUAAGCUAUAGUUCUUUCAUAGACAACUUGUUGACUAUAAUCAAUCCUGUAACUUACUCGCUUAUGCUAUUUUACCUACGCUUAGGAUGUUGAAGAUAUGCGCGACACG